ensembl:misc_RNA 7SK 7SK RNA
GGAUGUGAGGGCGAUCUGGCUACGACAUCUGCCACCCCACUGAUUGCCAGGGUUCAUUUGGCUGAUCUGGCUGGCUAGGUGGGUGUCUCCUUCCUCCCUUACUGCUGCAUGUGCCUCCCUCCCCAAGCAGCUGCACUAUAGUUCGAAGAGGAUGACCACCCCAGAUAGAGGGGGGACAUUUCCUCGGUCAAGGUUAUAGGAGUACCAUCCCUCCCCUACUAGAACCUCCAAACAAGCUCUCAAGAUUUAAUGAAAUCUAAACAAAAAUCAUAAUAAAUUAUUUUUUAGAUAUUGAAAAAA